rnacentral:ncRNA from 1 species
AAUUCUAAUUCACUUUAGGAUAACCCUUUGAACUUAAGCAUAUCAGUAAAAGGAGGAAAAGAAACUAACAAGGAUUUCUUUAGUAGUGGCGAAUGAACAAGAAAGAACUCAUUAUGUAAUCUAUAUUCAUAUAGAGAUGUUAAAAGUUAUUGUUGUCAUUCAAAUCAUAGAUACAUUAAAUUGUAGUAAAUGAUGACGAUAAAUAAACAAUGUAGAGUACGAUUGCUUGGUAGUGCAAUUGGAAUAUAGAUAGAAUAAAAUAUCUAAAGUUAAAUAUAAAUGACAUACCGAUAGAGAAUAAGUACUGCGAAGGAACUUGUA